GAUGAACGCUGGCGGCGUGCCUAAUACAUGCAAGUCGAGCGAACAGACGAGGAGCUUGCUCCUCUGACGUUAGCGGCGGACGGGUGAGUAACACGUGGAUAACCUACCUAUAAGACUGGGAUAACUUCGGGAAACCGGAGCUAAUACCGGAUAAUAUAUUGAACCGCAUGGUUCAAUAGUGAAAGACGGUUUUGCUGUCACUUAUAGAUGGAUCCGCGCCGCAUUAGCUAGUUGGUAAGGUAACGGCUUACCAAGGCGACGAUGCGUAGCCGACCUGAGAGGGUGAUCGGCCACACUGGAACUGAGACACGGUCCAGAUCCCUACGGGAGGCAGCAGUAGGGAAUCUUCCGCAAUGGGCGAAAGCCUGACGGAGCAACGCCGCGUGAGUGAUGAAGGUCUUCGGAUCGUAAAACUCUGUUAUAGGGAAGAACAAAUGUGUAAGUAACUAUGCACGUCUUGACGGUACCUAAUCAGAAAGCCACGGCUAACUACGUG
rnacentral:rRNA from 1 species